rnacentral:rRNA from 1 species
AACGAACGCUGGCGGCAGGCCUAACACAUGCAAGUCGACGAACUCUUCGGAGUUAGUGGCGCACGGGUGAGUAACGCGUGGGAAUAUGCCUCUUGGUGCGGAACAACAGUUGGAAACGGCUGCUAAUACCGCAUAAUAUCUAAGGAUCAAAGAUUUAUCGCCAAGAGAUUAGCCCGCGUCUGAUUAGGUAGUUGGUAGGGUAAAGGCCUACCAAGCCGACGAUCAGUAGAUGGUCUGAGAGGAUGAUCAUCCACACUGGUACUGAGACACGGACCAGACUCCUACGGGAGGCAGCAGUGAGGAAUAUUGCGCAAUGGAGGAAACUCUGACGCAGCCAUGCCGCGUGUGUGAAGAAGGCCUUAGGGUUGUAAAGCACUUUCAGAUGUGAGGAUAAUGACAGUAGCAUCAGAAGAAGCCCCGGCUAAAUUCGUGCCAGCAGCCGCGGUAAUACGAAUGGGGCAAGCGUUGUUCGGAAUCACUGGGCGUAAAGCGUAUGUAGGCGGCUUUCCAAGUCAGGAGUGAAAUCCCAGGGCUCAACCCUGGAACUGCAUUUGAAACUUCUUUUCUAGAAUCCGGGAGGGGUCAGUAGAAUUACUAGUGUAGAGGUGAAAUUCGCAGAUAUUAGUAGGAAUACCAGUGGCGUAGGCGACUGACUGGACCGGUAUUGACGCUCAUGUACGAAAGCGUGGGGAGCAAACAGGAUUAGAUACCCUGGUAGUCCACGCCGUAAACGAUGUAUGCUAGCUGUCGGGGCCUUAGGCUUCGGUGGCGCAGAGAAAUCAUUAAGCAUACCGCCUGGGGAGUACGGUCGCAAGACUAAAACUCAAAGGAAUUGACGGGGACCCGCACAAGCGGUGGAGCAUGUUGUUUAAUUCGAAGCAACGCGAAGAACCUUACCUACACUUGACAUACUAGUCGGGACUUUCAGAGAUGAUUGUCUUCGGUUCGGCCGGACUAGAUACAGGUGCUGCAUGGCUGUCGUCAGCUCGUGUCGUGAGAUGUUUGGUUAAGUCCAGCAACGAGCGCAACCCUUAUUAUAUGUUGCCAUCAUUCAGUUGGGCACUCAUAUGAGACUGCCGGUGAUAAGCCGGAGGAAGGUGGGGACGACGUCAAGUCAUCAUGGCCCUUACGUGUAGGGCUACAAACGUGCUACAAUGGCUACUACAGUGGGCAGCAACACCGCGAGGCGAAGCUAAUCCCUAAAAGCUCUCUCAGUUCGGAUUGCACUCUGCAACUCGAGUGCAUGAAGUCGGAAUCGCUAGUAAUCGUGGAUCAGCAUGCCACGGUGAAUACGUUCCCGGGUCUUGUACACACCGCCCGUCAAGUCAUGGGAGUUGGUUCUACCCGAAGACGGUGUGCUAACUUUGGAGGCAGCCGGCCACGGUAGGGUCAGCGACUGGGGUGA